rnacentral:rRNA from 1 species
ACACUUGGAAACAGGUGCUAAUACCGUAUAACAACUGAAACCGCAUGGUUUCAGUUUGAAAGAUGGUUUCGGCUAUCACUUCUGGAUGGACCCGCGGCGUAUUAGCUAGUUGGUGGAGUAAUGGUUCACCAAGGCAAUGAUACGUAGCCGACCUGAGAGGGUAAUCGGCCACAUUGGGACUGAGACACGGCCCAAACUCCUACGGGAGGCAGCAGUAGGGAAUCUUCCACAAUGGACGAAAGUCUGAUGGAGCAACGCCGCGUGAGUGAAGAAGGGUUUCGGCUCGUAAAACUCUGUUGUUGAAGAAGAACACAUCUGAGAGUAACUGUUCAGGUGUUGACGGUAUUUAACCAGAAAGCCACGGCUAACUACGUGCCAGCAGCCGCGGUAAUACGUAGGUGGCAAGCGUUGUCCGGAUUUAUUGGGCGUAAAGCGAGCGCAGGCGGUUUCUUAAGUCUGAUGUGAAAGCCUUCGGCUUAACCGGAGAAGUGCAUCGGAAACUGGGAGACUUGAGUGCAGAAGAGGACAGUGGAACUCCAUGUGUAGCGGUGAAAUGCGUAGAUAUAUGGAAGAACACCAGUGGCGAAGGCGGCUGUCUGGUCUGUAACUGACGCU